rnacentral:rRNA from 1 species
GAACGCUGAAGAGAGGAGCUUGCUCUUCUUGGAUGAGUUGCGAACGGGUGAGUAACGCGUAGGUAACCUGCCUUGUAGCGGGGGAUAACUAUUGGAAACGAUAGCUAAUACCGCAUAACAAUGGAUGACACAUGUCAUUUAUUUGAAAGGGGCAAUUGCUCCACUACAAGAUGGACCUGCGUUGUAUUAGCUAGUAGGUGAGGUAACGGCUCACCUAGGCGACGAUACAUAGCCGACCUGAGAGGGUGAUCGGCCACACUGGGACUGAGACACGGCCCAGACUCCUACGGGAGGCAGCAGUAGGGAAUCUUCGGCAAUGGGGGCAACCCUGACCGAGCAACGCCGCGUGAGUGAAGAAGGUUUUCGGAUCGUAAAGCUCUGUUGUAAGUCAAGAACGAGUGUGAGAGUGGAAAGUUCACACUGUGACGGUAGCUUACCANAAAGGGACGGCUAACUACGUGCCAGCAGCCGCGGUAAUACGUANGUCCCGAGCGUUGUCCGGAUUUAUUGGGCGUAAAGCGAGCGCAGGCGGUUUGAUAAGUCUGAAGUUAAAGGCUGUGGCUCAACCAUAGUUCGCUUUGGAAACUGUCAAACUUGAGUGCAGAAGGGGAGAGUGGAAUUCCAUGUGUAGCGGUGAAAUGCGUAGAUAUAUGGAGGAACACCGGUGGCGAAAGCGGCUCUCUGGUCUGUAACUGACGCUGAGGCUCGAAAGCGUGGGGAGCGAACAGGAUUAGAUACCCUGGUAGUCCACGCCGUAAACGAUGAGUGCUAGGUGUUGGAUCCUUUCCGGGAUUCAGUGCCGCAGCUAACGCAUUAAGCACUCCGCCUGGGGAGUACGACCGCAAGGUUGAAACUCAAAGGAAUUGACGGGGGCCCGCACAAGCGGUGGAGCAUGUGGUUUAAUUCGAAGCAACGCGAAGAACCUUACCAGGUCUUGACAUCCCGAUGCUAUUUCUAGAGAUAGAAAGUUACUUCGGUACAUCGGUGACAGGUGGUGCAUGGUUGUCGUCAGCUCGUGUCGUGAGAUGUUGGGUUAAGUCCCGCAACGAGCGCAACCCCUAUUGUUAGUUGCCAUCAUUCAGUUGGGCACUCUAGCGAGACUGCCGGUAAUAAACCGGAGGAAGGUGGGGAUGACGUCAAAUCAUCAUGCCCCUUAUGACCUGGGCUACACACGUGCUACAAUGGUUGGUACAACGAGUUGCGAGUCGGUGACGGCAAGCUAAUCUCUUAAAGCCAAUCUCAGUUCGGAUUGUAGGCUGCAACUCGCCUACAUGAAGUCGGAAUCGCUAGUAAUCGCGGAUCAGCACGCCGCGGUGAAUACGUUCCCGGGCCUUGUACACACCGCCCGUCACACCACGAGAGUUUGUAACACCCGAAGUCGGUGAGGUAACCUUUGGAGCCAGCCGCCUAAG